GGCGUAGGGCGCGAGCGUUGUCCGGAUUUAUUGGGCGUAAAGAGCUCGUAGGCGGCUUGUCGCGUCGAAUGUGAAAACCUGCAGCUCAACUGCAGGCUUGCAUUCGAUACGGGCAGGCUCGAGUUCGGUAGGGGAGACUGGAAUUCCCGGUGUAGUGGUGAAAUGCGUAGAGAUCGGGAGGAACACCUGUGGCGAAGGCGGCCGGCUGGGGGUGCCCUGACGCUGAGGCGCGAAAGCGUGGGGAGCGAACCGG
rnacentral:rRNA from 1 species